UUGCUUGGGCAGCAAAUAUACUAAAAUCGGAACGAUACAGAGAAGGUUAGCAUGGCCUCUGCUCAAGGAGGACAUGCAAAUUCGUGAAGUGUUCCAUAUUUAA
ensembl:snRNA U6 U6 spliceosomal RNA